rnacentral:rRNA from 1 species
UGCGUAGGCGGUUAGAUAAGUCAGAGGCGAAAGCCCGCAGCUCAACUGUGGAAUUGCCUUUGAUACUGUUUGACUUGAAUCAAGUUGAGGUUGGCGGAAUGUGACAUGUAGCGGUGAAAUGCAUAGAUAUGUCAUAGAACACCAAUUGCGAAGGCAGCUAACUAGACUUGUAUUGACGCUGAGGCACGAAAGCGUGGGGAGCAAACAGGAUUAGAUACCCUGGUAGUCC